rnacentral:rRNA from 1 species
CGAAAACCUUACCCACCUUUGACAUGGCAGGAACUUACCAGAGAUGGUUUGGUGCUCGAAAGAGAACCUGCACACAGGUGCUGCAUGGCUGUCGUCAGCUCGUGUCGUGAGAUGUUGGGUUAAGUCCCGCAACGAGCGCAACCCUUGCCAUUAGUUGCUACGAAAGGGCACUCUAAUGGGACUGCCGGUGACAAACCGGAGGAAGGUGGGGAUGACGUCAAGUCCUCAUGGCCCUUAUAGGUGGGGCUACACACGUCAUACAAUGGCUGGUACAAAGGGUCGCCAACCCGCGAGGGGGAGCCAAUCCCAUAAAGCCAGUCGUAGUCCGGAUCGCAGUCUGCAACUCGACUGCGUGAAGUCGGAAUCGCUAGUAAUCGUGGAUCAGAAUGUCACGGUGAAUACGUUCCCGGGUCUUGUACACACCGCCCGUCACACCAUGGGAGCGGGUCUCGCCAGAAGUAGGUAGCCUAACCGCAAGGAGGGCGCUUACCACGGCGGGGUUCGUGACUGGGGUGAAGUCGUAACAAGGUAGGCGUAGUGCU